rnacentral:misc_RNA from 1 species
GUAAGGUUGGAGACAUUCCAAUAGAAGCUACUUCAAUUUAACAACUGGGGUUGAGUUGAGUACGCGGUCAAGCGUUGUCCUGAAACAGCAGGUGCUAGAUUAUUUGGGCAGUUUAGGUAGUUUAACGGCUGGACUAGCCUAUUACAUCAUGAAUUGUAAGUGUGGAUAACAAAGAUUUGCCGUUACUUUUGGCCCGACUUUAGGGGGCAGUAGAGGAAGACACCAGCUCAAAAGACAUUCGUAUAAAAUAUGACAGUUACGAGUAAUGGUGGAGCUACGCACACAGGAG